rnacentral:rRNA from 1 species
UCGCAGUCUGAUGGAGCACGCCGCGUGAGUGAAGAAGGCUUUCGGGUCGUAAAACUCUGUUGUUGGAGAAGAAUGGUCGGCAGAGUAACUGUUGUCGGCGUGACGGUAUCCAACCAGAAAGCCACGGCUAACUACGUGCCAGCAGCCGCGGUAAUACGUAGGUGGCAAGCGUUAUCCGGAUUUAUUGGGCGUAAAGCGAGCGCAGGCGGUUUUUUAAGUCUGAUGUGAAAGCCCUCGGCUUAACCGAGGAAGUGCAUCGGAAACUGGGAAACUUGAGUGCAGAAGAGGACAGUGGAACUCCAUGUGUAGCGGUGAAAUGCGUAGAUAUAUGGAAGAACACCAGUGGCGAAGGCGGCUGUCUGGUCUGUAACUGACGCUGAGGCUCGAAAGCAUGGGUAGCGAACAGGAUUAGAUACC